rnacentral:rRNA from 1 species
UACGUAGGGUGCGAGCGUUAAUCGGAAUUACUGGGCGUAAAGCGUGCGCAGGCGGCGGCUCAAGUCAGGUGUGAAAUCCCCGGGCUUAACCUGGGAAUUGCGCUUGAGACUGGAUAGCUUGGAGUGCGGCAGAGGGAGGUGGAAUUCCACGUGUAGCAGUGAAAUGCGUAGAGAUGUGGAGGAACACCGAUGGCGAAGGCAGCCUCCUGGGCCAGCACUGACGCUCAUGCACGAAAGCGUGGGGAGCAAACAGG